GUGGAGAUUUAUCUCCCCUUAAAUCCGCGGCCGCCAAUGACAUAUUUCAUAGAUUGUAGAUAUAAAUACAUGUAUAUCUUAUGAAUUUUGGUUUAUCUGAAUUUCAGCUGAAUUGAUAGAAGAUGUUAUAUGUCUAUUAUGAAAUAUUGACUAGUCCAGAUAGUCAAUUUGCAUUUUAGUGUGCAUAAUCUACAUGUUUUGUGUGACAAUGACUAUAAUGUUAAUUUCUUAAUCUUUUAGAUAUAAAAGGGCAAGCAACACAGCUGGAUAAAGCAUCUUAAGUCUGCACCUCGUAAAGCUAUGACAAUGAGAGAAAUGUAUCCACCCAGGCAAUCAGAAUAUUGAGUGCAACACGGAAGGUGCGCUGCAGCUCAAAGAGAGCCAUGGUUAUGGGCAUCAAGUUCUCCAUCAGCUUUACCUCGCAGGCACCACUUGUGAUUUCAUAGUUUGAACACCAAUGAACAUGGAAGUGAUUUUCAUCCUUCGAGAUGAAUUAUGGGAAUUAUACUUGGCACACAUGAUCGAGCCUUUGUGCCCUCUCUGCAAUAACCAACUAGAUAGACUUGUGAAAAUUCAAAUGUCUUCCAAUAGUUUUAUUUUGUUUUUGCUACAAAUGAUCAGUAUAAAGAUGUGCAUGAAUCACCAUUGUAACAAUUUCUUCGACUAGCAGACGCUGCAGCCUUAAAUAAAUGUUCACUUUAUCAUUUACUUGAAUGCAUUUAAUACAACUUGACAAUGCAGAAUAAUGUGAGUAAGAAGUUGUACAUUUAUAGUAUCUUAAGUCCAAAGGUAAGAUUUAAUAAAUUGUGGAAUUCAUAUCAGCUAUUUCCUUCAGUGGAGGAUUUGCAAAUGUACAAGAGUCACACAGAGUUGAAAAUCUUAGUGGACAGAUCUAUAUGUCUGUAUUGUGAAGGUAUAUGAUUUAGAAUAUGGAUGUUUUUAAUUAUUAAAUUGCACACUCCACAUGAAUUUGACUCUUCCUGGUCUUGUAACAGCUGUGCUUCAUCCUUACUGAAAUGAGAUUUUGAUGAAAGAAAAGGUGAUAUGUUCAAUGUCACUCCUGAUUAAAGUUUAUCAAAUAUAUCAAAUCCUUUAUUAGCAAGAAUCAUAUAUCAUCUGGCUUCAACAUCUCCAAUACACCUCAGUGAUCAACAAUGUCACCAUCAAAGGUGGAUCCAGGAUACAAUUCAGAACAAUUGUGCUACACAAGUGAUAGCCUUUGCUGUGUGACAAAUUUUGCACAAUGUAGUUGCUGUCAGAUAAUGACUAGUUAUUCAUUUUUAAAAUUAAAUCCAGUGUUCUGUU